CUCCUUGUUAGGUGAGGCUCCUAUACAGAAAUAGGCUACUGCGCAGAAAUGUCGAGAGACACCAAUGUGUAAAACAGGUUUAAUCGCGAAGGUUAAACAUAAAGUAGCUGAACGAUUGUUCUAAGCUGUAUAGUGCUAAAGCUCAACAG
rnacentral:sRNA from 1 species